UAGACCUUUAGCUACAGACCUUAGACAGUAUUUUUUAUUUUUUAUUUGUGUCAGUGUGCUCUUCUAAAGAGUGUAAGACGAUUGUAUGUAGGUACUUUUGUUGACAUGUAAUGAACAUUAUGAAUAAAUUUCUUAUUCUUAUUCUUACUAUUAAAAUGUAAUUUUAACUCAUUGGUUUUGUCUCAUAUUUGAGGAAUGUACUAUGUAUCAUGAGUAGAGUCUUCGUUUAAAAGGAUGCGAACGAUUUAAAUUUCAAUAGGUAGACAAAAUUGAUAAUGAAGAAUGUUCACUAAUUUUGUUUUUUAGCUUUCUGUAUUCUCUGUUAAAAAUAAAAAAUACACGUGAAAGAAUUAUUUCGAUACGUCAA